GCUGAAGUUGCCUGCUUUAUUUGCACUUUAAAAGCAUGGAAGAGUAAGCUAUGAAUAAUUUCUCCUGCUUUAGCACUGGGUAGACAGCUCCUGAAAAUGUACUCCUGGCUUCAGUGAACCGGAGGGUGACUGCAACACUGAGUAACUGAAAGGCUCUACCCAAAGUAAGAGUAUGUGGGAAGAGGAUCUGAAGUUUGCUGAUGUAUCACAACUUUCACAGGCAAGCAAUCGGGAGCAGCACGGCUCCAGUAACAGUUCCUCGGGGGACGGACAGCUGCAGAGGAGCACAGGGCUUUGAUUCAAAUAACUCACUGGGUAUAAAUUCGUUUUAUAUCCCCAUCCACAAACUGAUGAAUCCACAAUAACCAGACCAGAUUCCCUUUUUUUUUCUUUUCAUUGUGAAAAUAAGUUUCUUGAGCUGAUACAAUAUAUCAGCUUGAGCUUGCUCCAAGCCAAAUGUGCUCCUUGGAAGCGCAGCCCUCUCCUCCAGUGAAAUCCAAGUUGGUACCAUGGGUACAAAACACUGACAGUGUGUGGGGCAGGGCUGCUCUGCAGCCCCACGAGGGCCAGGUGAUGGGUACAGGUAGAGGUGGAGAUGCCAGCGCUGCUUUGCGGGCCCCAUGGAGCUGAGAAACUGGACUGCCGACCCUACUGCAGCCCCCAAACUUAGAUCAGCAGCUCUGGCGGGGGGGAAGGAGGAUGCAGGCUUGGGUUGAAAUUCAUUUUCCCCCUCCUGCACCUCAUUAUAAGUUCCACCCACAUAAGACCUAAUUACUUGGCUUUUAUGCUGGCAAAGUGGAUUUCAUCCUUGCUGUUUCCCAUGGUGGUUGCCUUCAUUUUCAUGGCGGCACUGAUGGUUACAGCUUAUUGAUGUUUUCACUUUAGUGAUUUAAAGCAGAAUACAUUUUGUUAUUAGUGCUGGUUUCUCUCAUUGCUGCUUUAAUCAAAGAUGCAAUUUAAGGCAAAGGAUUGUGUGUAAUGGUAAACAGUAGGAUAAUGCCUUCAGAGAACAGAA
rnacentral:lncRNA from 1 species